AUUGAACGCUGGCGGCAGGCUUAACACAUGCAAGUCGAGCGGGGGAAGGUAGCUUGCUACCGGACCUAGCGGCGGACGGGUGAGUAAUGCUUAGGAAUCUGCCUAUUAGUGGGGGAGAACAUCUCGAAAGGGAUGCUAAUACCGCAUACGUCCUACGGGAGAAAGCAGGGGAGCUUCGGACCUGGCGCUAAUAGAUGGGCCUAAGUCGGAUUAGCUAGUUGGUGGGGUAAAGGCCUACCAAGGCGACGAUCUGUAGCGGGUCUGAGAGGAUGAUCCGGCACACUGGGACUGAGAAACGGCCCAGACUCCUACGGGAGGCAGCAGUGGGGAAUAUUGGACAAUGGGGGGAACCCUGAUCCAGCCAUGCCGCGUGUGUGAAGAAGGCCUUAUGGUUAUAAAGCACUUUAAGCGAGGAGGAGGCUACUUUAGUUAAUACCUAGGGAUAGUGGACGUUACUCGCAGAAUAAGCACCGGCUAACUCUGUGCCAGCCGCCGCGGUAA
rnacentral:rRNA from 1 species